rnacentral:lncRNA from 1 species
GGGAAACAAGAAAAGAAGCUAACAUUCAUGCUUCAGGAUUUAGAGUUUGGAAGCAAAUAUAUGUUACUCUUUGGGAUGCUUAUGCUGAACAGAUUUUGGAGUUUGAAAGGGACAACCAAGAUGAAAAAAAUGUUGUUGUAAUUGUCCAAUUCGGAAAAUACAGGUUCUGGGGAGGGUUUCUUUAUGUUUCAAAUCUCUACACUGUCACUCGCGUGUUGAUCAACGCUGAAAUUGAUGACAUUUUAACUUUUAAGA